rnacentral:rRNA from 1 species
GACGAACGCUGGCGGCGUGCUUAACACAUGCAAGUCGUACGGUAAGGCCCUUUCGGGGGUACACGAGUGGCGAACGGGUGAGUAACACGUGAGUAACCUGCCCACAACUUUGGGAUAACGCUAGGAAACUGGUGCUAAUACUGGAUAUGUGCUCCUGCUGCAUGGUGGGGGUUGGAAAGCUCCGGCGGUUGUGGAUGGACUCGCGGCCUAUCAGCUUGUUGGUGGGGUAGUGGCCUACCAAGGCGGCGACGGGUAGCCGGCCUGAGAGGGUGACCGGCCACAUGGGGACUGAGAAACGGCCCAGACACCAACGGGGGGCAGCAGGGGGGAAUUGUGCACAAGGGGGGCAAGCGUGAUGCGGCACCGCCGCGUGCGGGAUGAUGCCCUUCGGGUUGUAAACCGCUUUCAGCGGGGACAAAGCUUUUUGUGAGGGUACCUGCAGAAAAAGCACCGGCUAAAUACG